rnacentral:rRNA from 1 species
UUGAUCCCUGGCUCAGGACGAACGCUGGCGGCGUGCCUAAUACAUGCAAGUCGAGCGGAAUGAUGAAGAAGCUUGCUUCUUCUGAUUUUAGCGGCGGACGGGUGAGUAACACGUGGGCAACCUACCUUGUAGAUUGGGAUAACUCCGGGAAACCGGGGCUAAUACCGAAUAAUCCAUUUUGCUUCAUGGCAAGAUGUUGAAAGGCGGCUUCGGCUGUCACUACGAGAUGGGCCCGCGGCGUAUUAGCUAGUUGGUAGGGUAAUGGCCUACCAAGGCGACGAUACGUAGCCGACCUGAGAGGGUGAUCGGCCACACUGGGACUGAGACACGGCCCAGACUCCUACGGGAGGCAGCAGUAGGGAAUCUUCCACAAUGGACGAAAGUCUGAUGGAGCAACGCCGCGUGAGUGAAGAAGGUUUUCGGAUCGUAAAACUCUGUUGUAAGGGAAGAACACGUACGAGAGUAACUGCUCGUACCUUGACGGUACCUUAUUAGAAAGCCACGGCUA